GCGAAGGUGGCGGAAUUGGUAGACGCGCUAGCUUCAGGUGUUGAGUGUUCUAACGGACGGACGUGGGGGUUCAAGUCCCCCCUCGCACCA
rnacentral:tRNA from 1 species